AACGAACGCUGGCGGCAGGCUUGACACAUGCAAGUCGAACGGGUGCAGCAAUGCAUCAGUGGCAGACGGGUGAGUAACACGUGGGAACCUUCCUAGGAGUACGGAACAACUCAGGGAAACUUGAGCUUAUACCGUAUACGUCCGUGAGGAGAAAGAUUUAUCGCCCUUAGACGGGCCCGCGUCGGAUUAGCUAGUUGGUGGGGUAACGGCCUACCAAGGCGACGAUCCGUAGCUGAUCUUAGAGGAUGAUCAGCCACACUGGGACUGAGACACGGCCCAGACUCCUACGGGAGGCAGCAGUGGGGAAUCUUGGACAAUGGGCGCAAGCCUGAUCCAGCCAUGCCGCGUGAGUGAAGAAGGUCUUCGGAUUGUAAAGCUCUUUUGCCAGGGACGAUAAUGACGGUACCUGGAGAAUAAGCCCCGGCAAACUUCGUGCCAGCCGCCGCAGUAA
rnacentral:rRNA from 1 species